rnacentral:rRNA from 1 species
CGGAUGCCGAUCUCGAAAACCUGUCCCAGUUCGGACUGGAGUCUGCAACCCGACUCCACGAAGUUGGAUUCGCUAGUAAUCGCGCAUCAGCCAUGGCGCGGUGAAUACGUUCCCGGGCCUUGUACACACCGCCCGUCAAGCCAUGAAAGCCGGGGGCGCCUGAAGUCCGUGACCGCGAGGGUCGGCCUAGGGUGAAACCGGUGAUUGGGGCUAAGUCGUAACAAGGUAGC